GGAAAGUAUUAAAGAUUGAUAGAUCAGAAUCCACAGAGCUACUCAUUCAUGAAGAUCCCACCAUAUAUUCAGAACGUGAAUACUUAGACCUCCUAAGUAGAAUACAUGAAGGAAACAAGCCUACUGGAGGGCUUAAAUUCGUUUGUCUCUGCUAUGGAAUUAUUGGUUUUAUAAAGUUUUUGGGAGCUCAUUACUUAUUGGUUAUCACUGAAAGAAGAGAGAUCGGAAAGAUACGUGGUCAUGUUGUUUACGCUAUCACUGAGAGCGAGAUGUUCCCGGUUCCCAAUUCUACGGUGCUUUCCAAAAUGACGUAUUCUAAGGAUGAGAACAGGUCUUUCGUCAAUUCUGCAUGUCAAUGUAAACUGUACAUAGUAUUUUAGGAAGGCAAUAUAAUGGAACGAUUACGAAACCACUUCUAGUUGUGUUUUAAUAUUCUUUUAUUUGGAUGGUGACUAUCUUAUUUUGACAUCUGUAAGUAGUCGUAU
rnacentral:misc_RNA from 1 species